UGGGAGAUCGUCUAAUGGUAGGACAUAUCCCUCUGGAGGAUAUUAUCUUGGUUCGAGUCCAAGUCUCCCAG
rnacentral:tRNA from 1 species